CCCACCCCCCAGCACUGUCCACUACAGCACUAGCCUUGGGCUCCCCCCACCCCCGCACUGCUUUCUAGGCUUAAAGAGGAUGGAGCCGGCGGAGGGGAGACUGAAGAGUUACAGGAUGAAGCCGGGACACCCUGGUGGAGCAGCAACACUGCAGAGCAGGGCUGUCUCCGGAGAGAAGGGGGUGGUGAUUGGGCUAGGGGAGGGGACACAUUUUAGUGAGUCAAGGCCUGGUCAUCCGACCUGCAAAGGAGGGGAGGAAAAGGUGGGGAAGGAGCGAAAGGGGUCGCCCACCCACUGUCCUCUCCCUGGGCCGGAAACUGACCGGAGUGCUGGCACCAAAGGUAGAACCCACAAUUGUAAAGAGUCCCCCAGGAGCCGAAGUUGGGAAGCGAGCCGAGCAGAGGCGCAGGCGUGCAAAGGUGGACCAACGAGCUACAGGAGUGCCCCGGAGGAGGGUCUGCCGGAGCUCAAGGAGCGCUUCUCGCCUCCCGCAGUCCAGCUGUCCGCAUCUGGCCAGCAGCUGGGAGCCGCCCACCGCAAACUGCUGAGGACACGGCGCCCUCUGUUGGUGCAGAGCCUCGAAACGCCGGCUUCGGGUUGCACUGCCCGCCGCAACAUCAGGUCUGGGGGCUCGCCCCGGUUGGGUGGGUCUUGGGUUCCACCCAUUCGAUACCCUUUGCCUGUGAAUACCGCCCGCCCUCGGUCUCGCAUUCCUCCCAAAUCUCACUCCACAGGUUCCUUCUUCUCCGGCUGCUGCCUUGCUGACCCUGUCCCCUCCGUCGCCCUGCUCCUAAAACCCUGCACGGCGACCUAG
rnacentral:lncRNA from 1 species